GUGCGGGCCACGUUCCAGGACACGUGGAUCAUGGGGACGAUGGAUUUGACCUUCUUCACUUCGUUCCACUCAAACCUCUCCAGGGCCAGCUGGUACUGAUGGUGCACUCCUUACCAUUGAGAGGUCCAACAUUCCAGGCGAUGUUGUUGCACCAGCCUACGGCCUGAACCCAGUGAACAGUUCCAGCGUUGAUCCACACCAAGUCUCCAGGCCGCUGGAUGAAGCGGUACACUGGGAUGUUGGCUUUGUAGAGGUCCUCCAACACCGGCCACCAGGACCCUGUCAGAUAGUCCACUCCGUGCCUAAGCACAUACGAGGAAAAAGUUGUGUUAGAGCUAUGAUGUUUGUGUGUAGAAAGGUGUAGGGCUAGCAUCUUAAAUAACCCUUGCACUCAGACUUGGGAAGUACUAAACAAAGUCAGCUUGCAUUCUCAGAUGUGUCUCGGUCUACUCACUUUUCACAGAAGUCACUAAUGGCCUGCCAGUAGUUCUCAUGGACAGAGAACCACUCACAGUCUCCAGGGCCGAUGUUGAUGUUCACUGAGCAAAAGUUAUUGUUCUCCUGGUGACCUGUUGAUUUUAGAAUGAACAUAUCUUAAUUCAGAUAGUAACUUAUGUUUCAUAUUGUUUGAACUAAAGAUGUAAAGAGUCCUUUACCUGGUGUUCGGCUCCCUGGAACCUUCAUGUAGAGCUGGACAGUGUUCAUGCCUAGGAUGGUGUGUCCGACGUGGCUCAGCAUGUUUCCACUAGAUGCUACACGCAUAAAGGCUGGCAGCUUCUGCAACUCCUGAAGCUGAGGCUUCCACCUGAUCAGAGAUAGCAGAGCUGUCCUUGCUUGGAGUAUCAGAACUGUAAGAAGGCUUCUUCUCAUCUUCGUCAUCCUCCUCAUCGCUGCCUUUCUCCUCCUGAAGACAUAGAUCACAACAUGUUUUAUCAACUGGAUUGCAGCACAGAGUACAGAAACAUGGAGAGCCUG